GAGAUCAAAAAAUCUAUCCCAUUUAAAAUAGUGCCCAAACGAUAAAGAGAAGAUUAGCAUGGCUCCUGAGCAAGGAUGGCACGCAAAUUUAUAAAGUGUUCCAUAUUUAA